AGUGAACGCUGGCGGUAGGCCUAACACAUGCAAGUCGAACGGCAGCACAGUAAGAGCUUGCUCUUACGGGUGGCGAGUGGCGGACGGGUGAGGAAUACAUCGGAAUCUACUUUUUCGUGGGGGAUAACGUAGGGAAACUUACGCUAAUACCGCAUACGACCUACGGGUGAAAGCAGGGGAUCUUCGGACCUUGCGCGAUUGAAUGCGCCGAUGUCGGAUUAGCUAGUUGGGGGGGUAAAGGCCCACCAAGGCGACGAUCCGUAGCUGGUCUGAGAGGAUGAUCAGCCACACUGGAACUGAGACACGGUCCAGACUCCUACGGGAGGCAGCAGUGGGGAAUAUUGGACAAAGGGCGCAAGCCUGAUCCAGCCAUGCCGCGUGGGUGAAGAAGGCCUUCGGGUUGUAAAGCCCUUUUGUUGGGAAAGAAAAGCAGCAGGUUAAUACCCCGCUGUUCUGACGGUACCCAAAGAAUAAGCACCGGCUAACUUCGUG
rnacentral:rRNA from 1 species